rnacentral:tRNA from 1 species
GCCUGGGUGGCUCAGUGGGUUAAGCGUCUGACUCUUGAUUUCCACUCAUGUCAUGAUCUCACAUUUCAUGGGAUCGAGCCCCAUAUCAGGCU